GCAAGCGUUGUUCGGUAUUAUUGGGCGUAAAGGGCGCGUAGGCGGUUUGACAAGUCUGAUGUGAAAUCUCUGGGCUCAACCCAGAGUCUGCAUUAGAAACUGUCGGGCUUGAGUAUGGGAGAGGUGAGUGGAAUUUCCGGUGUAGCGGUGAAAUGCGUAGAUAUCGGGAGGAACACCAGUGGCGAAGGCGACUACCUGGCCUGUUUCUUGACGCUGAGGCGCGAAAGCUAGGGGAGCAAACGGG
rnacentral:rRNA from 1 species